CAGGGAGGGGGCGGUGUCCCACAGCCCAGAUUGUGAGAGGGUGCAGGCCAGGCCAAGGGACCCCACCAGUGCACA
rnacentral:pre_miRNA from 1 species